rnacentral:rRNA from 1 species
GAUGAACGCUGGCGGCGUGCCUAAUACAUGCAAGUCGAACGCGCAGCGAAAGGUGCUUGCACCUUUCAAGCGAGUGGCGAACGGGUGAGUAACACGUGGAUAACCUGCCUCAAGGCUGGGGAUAACAUUUGGAAACAGAUGCUAAUACCGAAUAAAACUUAGUAUCGCAUGAUACAAAGUUAAAAGGCGCUACGGCGUCACCUAGAGAUGGAUCCGCGGUGCAUUAGUUAGUUGGUGGGGUAAAGGCUUACCAAGACGAUGAUGCAUAGCCGAGUUGAGAGACUGAUCGGCCACAUUGGAACUGAGACACGGCCCAAACUCCUACGGGAGGCUGCAGUAGGGAAUCUUCCACAAUGGGCGCAAGCCUGAUGGAGCAACGCCGCGUGUGUGAUGGAGGCUUUCGGGUCGUAAAGCACUGUUGUAUGGGAAGAAAUGCUAAAAUAGGGAAUGAUUUUAGUUUGACGGUACCAUACCAGAAAGGGACGGCUAAAUACGUGCCAGCAGCCGCAGUAA